AUGAAUGGGUGUGAAAUCAAACCACCUGUCUAUGAAAAGAAAGUUGGGAUGCCUUCAAACAAGAGUAGGAGAAAGCAGCCUUAUGAGAUUGAAAAGAAAGAUGGCACAAAGGUACUGACCAGACAUGGAGGCACAAUAACAUGUUCAUACUGCCAUGAACAGGGCCACAACAUCAAAGGAUGUAAUAUAAGAAAAGUUGGCAUCUUGCCAAAAAUAACAGUGAGAAGGGGGCCAAGGGCUAUUCCUGAGGAUGUGUCUGAUGAUGAACUAGUUAUGGCACAAGAUGAACAGGAACAGGAUGGUGGGCAAGUCACACAGGAGGAGGUUCAUGUCACACAAGAUGAUGAGCAAGUCACACAGGAGGAGGUUUAUGUCACACAAGAUGAUGGCCAACUUAAACAGGAGGAUGUCAAUGCCACACAGAAUGAUUGCCCAGUGCAGCAACAAGAGGACGAAUAUGAUACACCAGUUGUUUUUCAGGUGCAAGACUUUGGACAUACAAUGCUCUUAAGAUGA
rnacentral:rRNA from 1 species